AUACGUAGGGAGCGAGCGUUGUCCGGAAUUACUGGGUGUAAAGGGUGCGUAGGCGGGAUGGCAAGUCAGAUGUGAAAUACAUGGGCUCAACCCAUGGGCGGCAUUUGAAACUGCAUUUCUUGAGUGAAGUAGAGGUAAGCGGAAUUCCUGGUGUAGCGGUGAAAUGCGUAGAUAUCAGGAGGAACACCGGUGGCGAAGGCGGCUUACUGGGCUUUUACUGACGCUGAGGCUCGAAAGCGUGGGGAGCAAACAGGAUUAGAUACCCUGGUAGUCCACGCUGUAAACGAUGAUUACUAGGUGUGGGGGGACUGACCCCUUCCGUGCCGCAGUUAACACAAUAAGUAAUCCACCUGGGGAGUACGGCCGCAAGGUUGAAACUUAAAGGAAUUGACGGGG
rnacentral:rRNA from 1 species